GCAGAAGGAUCAUUAGUGAAGAUUUGGGCAGGCCAUACGGACGCCAAAAAGUGUCCCUGGCCGCCUACACCCACUGUACAUCCACAAACCCGUGUGCACUGUCUUGGAGAAAGGCUUCAGAGAAGUUUUUUGUGGCCUCUCUUGGGGUCUUUCUUCGCUACAAACUCGAAUGGUUAGUAUGAACGUGGAACUUGGUUGGACCGUCACUGGCCAACAAACUAUACACAACUUUCGACAACGGAUCUCUUGGUUCUCCCA
rnacentral:misc_RNA from 1 species